AACAAGGUACCCCUACGAGAACGUGGGGGUGGAUCACCUCCUUUCAAAUGGAGUUUUUAUUUUUUAUUUAUCUUAAACACCCAUUAAUUUUUUCGGUGUUAAAACCCAAAUCAAUGUUUGGUCUCACAACUAACACAUUUGGUCAGUUUGUAUCCAGUUCUGAAAGAAUGUUUUUGAACAGUUCUUUCAAAACUGAAAACGACAAUCUUUCUAGUUCCAAAAAUAAAUACCAAAGGAUCAAUACAAUAAGUUACUAAGGGCUUAUGGUGGAUGCCUUGGCACUAAAAGGCGAUGAAGGACGUGUUAACCUGCGAUAAGCUUCGGGGAGGUGGUAAAAACCUGAGAUCCGGAGGUGUCCGAAUGGAGCAAUCUGGUAGCUUGCAAAAGU
rnacentral:misc_RNA from 1 species